ACCCCGCCCCCGGUACCGCCCUCAAGUGACAGCUCCUCUCCCCGCCCCCGGUGGGGCCCCGGAGCGGCUGCGACCCCCUCCUCGAGUCCCAGUGUCCGGAGCGCACAGACCCGCCCACCCGCGCGGCGCCUGGGCCUCGGGGAGGAUGGGAUCCUCCGAGAUUCAUAUCCCUGUAGAGUCUCCUUGAACAAUGAAGAGAGCUAACCCAUGGCAGCAGUGUGACGACUGAGGCCACGUCACAGUACACGGUGCUUCCUCCCCGCUCUCAGGCCGACCGUGGGGGAAGCCAGCCUCCACGGUGUGGGGGCACUCAAGCAGCGGCCUGUGGAGAGUCCCAUGCCAAGAAGGACGGAGGCCUCCCGCCCAACCCGGCCCGGUAGUUGGGAACGUGUGUGAGUCACCCCACGAGGAGACCCUCCAGGUCACAAAGUCUGGGGGUGAUCCCUCACACAGCAAUGGAGGCCUGAUACAGCAAUAUUGUUCCUCAGUGAAACCCACCUCUAUGGAGCCAAGGUCAGCUCCAUAGAGCUGUGUUGGGAGCGGCCAGUCAGGAAGUCGGCCGGCUGCACCGUUAGCAAUCACACCAGAAGACUUGAGAUACACAAGCGUCAAGUCAGAGGACAAAAUAGAGGAGAUAUUCCAUAAGCAAUGGCAACAAAGGCCCAGGGAUGAGCUUAACAAGAAACACGCAGGAAAACUGAAACGUUCCCAACAGACACCGUAGAAACUGGACCAGAAUACCACAUUCUUGGAUGAGGGACUUAACAUUGCAUAAAGACAUUAAUCCUUCCUGAACUUAUGUAUGGAUUUAAUACCAUCUCAGUAAACGUACGAGGAAGAAUCAGGGGUAGACGUGCUCGUUUUAACUCAUUAAGGAAAGCGUAACACAAACAAGCAAGAAGAGGAGGGAGGGUUAUGCCAAAGAAGGAGUCAUAAAAACUGAAGAAGGGAAACAGUCCCAAACUCAUGUUACGAGCCCACACCCACCCCGGUACCAAAGCCGGAUGGAUACCACAAUGAAAGAAAAUUAAAGACCAAUUGUCCUGAUGAACAUAGAUGCAGACAGUCUCGCCAAAAUAUUAGCCAACCAAACUCAACAGCACAUUAAAAGGAUCAUCCACCAUGACCAAGCGGGAUUUAUCCCUGGGAGGCAAGAUGGUUCAACAUCAGCAAAUCAACAAAAGUGAUACAUCACGUUCACGGAAGGAAGGAUAAAAAUCGUAUGGUCGUCUCAGUAGAUGCUUCUCUGCAUGUGACCCAACACUGCCUCCUUUCAUGAUAAAAAUGCUCAACAAACCGGGAAUGGGAGGAAUGUUCCUGGCAUAAUGAACACCAUAUGUGACAAGCCCACAGCUAACAUCCUACUCAAUGGUGAAAAGUUAAAAGCCUUUUUUCUAAGAUCAGGACCAAGACAGGGAUGCCUUCUGUCACCGUUUCUAGCCAACAUA